rnacentral:rRNA from 1 species
GUGCCAGCAGCCGCGGUAAUUCCAGCUCCAAUAGCGUAUAUUAAAGUUGUUGUGGUUAAAAAGCUCGUAGUUGAACCUUGGGCCUGGCUGGCCGGUCCGCCUCACCGCGUGCACUGGUCCGGCCGGGCCUUUCCCUCUGUGGAACCCCAUACCCUUCACUGGGCGUGGCGGGGAAGCAGGACAUUUACUUUGAAAAAAUUAGAGUGCUCCAGGCAGGCCUAUGCUCGAAUACAUUAGCAUGGAAUAAUAGAAUAGGACGCGCGGUUCUAUUUUGUUGGUUUAUAGGACCGCCGUAAUGAUUAAUAGGGACAGUCGGGGGCAUCAGUAUUCAACUGUCAGAGGUGAAAUUCUUGGAUCAGUUGAAGACUAACUACUGCGAAAGCAUUUGCCAAGGAUGUUUUCAUUAAUCAGGAACGAAAGUUAGGGGAUCGAAGACGAUCAGAUACCGUCGUAGUCUUAACCAUAAACUAUGCCGACUAGGGAUCGGACGGUGUUAUUCAUGACCCGUUCGGCACCUUACGAGAAAUCAAAGUGCUUGGGCUCCAGGGGGAGUAUGGUCGCAAGGCUGAAACUUAAAGAAAUUGACGGAAGGGCACCACCAGGGGUGGAGCCUGCGGCUUAAUUUGACUCAACACGGGGAAACUCACCAGGUCCAGACACAAUAAGGAUUGACAGAUUGAGAGCUCUUUCUUGAUUUUGUGGUGUGAUGCAUGGCCGUUCUUAGUUGGUGGGGUGACUUGUCUGCUUAAUUGCGAUAACGAACGAGACCUUAACCUGCUAAAUAGCCCGCAUUGCUCCGGCAGUGCCGCUGGCCUUCUUAGAAG